UGGCCAAGCAAUGCAGAGAAUGCGGACAAGCAAUUCGUUCAUUUCACAUCUCUAGGACAUCGCGAGAAAUCUGACAUUGAGGGAUUGUUCACGUCACGUUUUGGAAUUCAAAGCGAUUGGUCACAGCGAGUUCUUUAAACGAAUAGUGCGAUGUCAAGGAUCUAGGACAAAAAAAAAAUAAAGUCUACAACAUAUCAAGGUCGAUGCGAUUGUCUGUGCGUACCAAACGGCCGACGAAGCGCGACGACCUACGGCCAUGCUACAAAAUGUUGCACGAAGAAUGAACAUAAUCUUAAUAGCAGGGUAUCUUGAAUGUCAUAUGACAUUAAUUGUUUAUUUUGAUAUUAAAAUUACGCUUACAUACAAAUAUUACACUCUUGAACAACAUAUUUUAUAGUUACCUACAUAUUUGGAAUAUGUAGACGGAAUUAUAUUAAUUUAUAAAAAUACAGGUUUAUAUGAAAAUUGCACACACAGCGAACAUACGAUUGAUACAAAGUCUCGUACUUCAUUUAACUAUAAUAUAAACUAUUGGAAAUGGUACAUUUAAAAAUCUUGUCGUUUUUAGCUGAGUUUAUCCACACUGAACAUUCUUUUUUUGGGAACGUUGUCUAGGGUGGAGAAAAGAGUAUGUUCAAAGGUACAAAAAAUUUGAUUUGUUUACACAAAGUUUCAGAAUAUUCAUAAAUCAAAAAUCUAUAAUAUGAGACAGUGUUAUUUUUUAAGAAAAUGUGUUAUGAAGCUACAUUAAAAUUAGCUACCAAAUUGUUUAAAGUUGGUAUUAACAAUAAUUUCAAAGAAUUUUCAUUUCGUUCAUUAUUUAGCAACAAAUUUUAAAAUAUAAUAGUAGUCUAAGAGUGUCUUAUAUGCUGUUAACACAUUAACGUCCGGAGACAUAAAAAUAGGAUUUAUGCAUUGUGCAUUAAAGGUAUACAAUAUA